UAAAACGCUAUUGGGCCAACCGAAAGCUCAAUGUGAUUGACAUGGGCGACUCUAACCCUAACAGUAUAGUAAUCAUGUCUAUAAAUCUCACGUCCUAAAGCCUUCAACCAUGUACUUUGGUGUUUAGGGUUAGCCUCAUAGCUUGUGGAGUUCUUAUGUCAGUGUCUUCGAUCUCUGUUUCUGCUUCAAUCUCUGUUUCAGCAUCCCUCACACUCACACACUCUGUCUGCGCUCCACACCCACCCACCCAAUCUCUCCCUCCGCGCACUCUCUCUGUUUGCGAUUUCCAUUCUCAGGGCUCGCUUCUCUUCCACUGACGUCGCCGCUGGCCACCGCGAAACACACAGGCCACCACGUCGUCGUCGCUAACCAUACCCGCUUCUCUUCUCCUCCACCUUCACAUCCACCACGCGUUGGCUAUUUCGAGAAAACAGCGUCCACGACCACCGCGAAAACAGCGGAGCCACCGUCGGACUGCGAUUGGCGGACGAUUCCGACCGCCACGACCACCGCGAAGACAGACCCAUGGCCUUCAUCUUCUAUUUCCUUUCCUCCAUCAAAUCCUUCACUGCAUGCAACAAUUUCCAUGGUCACCUGCAGCUACAAAAUGUUCAAGUACUCCAAUAGAACCCGUCUCCCUCUUCGCCGAAGGCGCAGACUCCAUUUUUGCCGACCAGCGCCUCUGUUUUAUGCAUAAACACCAACACCACCUUCCUGAAGUUAACAUUGUUAUCUUAAUGUUCAUUCCGUUUGAAUGGCUUCAUUCCGAACUCAGCAACAUUUGUAGGUCCCUCUUGAGGCAGUUGAUUAAUAACAAAAAAUUUCAAUAUUAAGGCAGUUGAUUUAUUUUUUAUUUUUUGACUGGGUUGUAAGAACCAAUGGUUUUCCGUAUUAUCCUUGUGCUUUAGUUUGCAGUAGAUAAAUGAUAUUCUACCAGAUGGCUUGUUGCUGUUACAGGCUUGAUAGUUGGCUAGGUUCCCUGUUUUCAUAUUUUUGUUAGCUAUUAUUCCUUUUCAUGGUAUAUGAUGCGCUGAUUUAGAAAGUUGAAAAGAAAGUUGUGUUAUAUAAUGGGCAUCCAUAUUACUUUCUGCAUCUAGGGCGGCAAGUUCUCCGUUAAGAGUUCAAGAGAUGCUUUAUUAAAAAAAAAUACAAUUUUUUCAUUAUGUUCCUCUUCACUUUUGGGAUGAUGCAUUUCUCACAUGUCAUCUUGUCCAAACGUUUCUUCACUUUUUGUUUUUUGCAAUCAGGUUCCUAUUAUGUCUUGUAUUGCAGAUAGACUUUUUACCUUGUUUCUCUCCUUAUAUUUAGUUUCACAUGUUUUGGCCAUGACCUUAAAUUAGGUAUUUUUAAACUUUCUAUCAAAUCUCUCGAAUGCAUUUAUUUUUAGGUUACUCAGAUCUCCAAAAGGGUUAUCAUGGUAAUCAUUAUGAUUAGACUAGGUGCUUUCUGAAAAAAUAGAAAAUCCCUAUAUUAGCUUUCAGAUGUUGAUUGGACAGACUUUGGUUCUAAUAGAAGAUCUGCUUCCAAAUAUGGUGUUUUCAUGGUGAUAAUUUAAUCUCUUGGAAGUGCAAGAAACAAAAUUAUAGCCACCAGUGAGAACGUGCAAGCAUGUCAAAGAUUUGAUUAGUGAUUUUUGCGCCGUGGAGGUUGCCUAGCUGGGACAAUCACAACUGUGGUAUUGCGAGUCCAGACGCGAUAGUGACAAGGAUGAUGGCACAAUAGGGGGAAUAGACAGGGCGGUGGUAGUACAUUGGUGGCAAAAAACGAUGACUGGAAAAAUAACACCUAAGAACAAUGCCAGAAAUUAAAAAAAGAUGAACAAUUUCCAGACGAAAAAUUUAGCACGGGGAACAGAGGGUUUUCGUAGGAGGCAAGGAUUUAACCUAGCUCUACAUACAAUGUUAAAAUAAAAGAGAAGUACAGGCAAAUCCCUAAUGUGUGUAGAGCACACAAAGUUAUGUAUUUAUAACAAAAAAAUACAAAGAGAUAGGCAUAAGCCCGUUAUAUCUAAUAGUUUCUAUUAAGCGGACAUGGUUAUAGGCAAGAACUUAUUGAAUCCAUUGGUGCUACAAGGAGUAUGCCCUUUUUAGGGAAAGGGUAGCGGUGUGGAUGAGGCCACUAGGGCAGAGAAGCCACCUUCUCUAAUAUCUUUUCUUUUUCAGAAUUUCCUUUACGCUUUAUUUGUUUAAAGCUCAUAUUAUUAGUUCUGGUUCUGUAUUUUGUUUAAUCAUCAAGUACAUAUCUGAGUUUGUAUCAAGUAUCAUUUUCACUGUCAGACAAACAGUUUGCCUAAGGUAUCGGCAGGAAUUUAUGUCCGAAAUUAUGUUUGACAAGUUGAAGGAACAAAACCCAAAAAGGUUUUAUUUUGAUACAAUUUUCUUUAUAUCAUCUUUUGUGAUGAUGAAAGUGUUUUGUUGAGCAAUUAAGUUGCUCAAGUUUAGGGGUUGCCUACUGGAUUGUGUAGUCAAUUAAUUUCGUGUUUUAGUUGCUUAUUUGGUUUUCUGAGAGUAGCUUGUGUGGUUGCCAAGCAUCUUUCAUCUCUUUCUGCAUCUCAUGUCGGCUGUUUCAAGUUUUAGGAAAGCUGUAUGACCAACCAAUGACUUCCUUUCCAACGUCCCCUUAACAACAAAAUGGUGAUGCCAAUCAAUACUUGGUUGGAAUUGUUUGAACCAUAAUCCAGCAUGAUGUUCUUCACUUUUGGAGUGAUCUGUUUCUCAAGACACGUGAUAGAGCUGGGAUCAGUUUAAUAAGACCAAGAAACAGUAAUCAAAGAAACAAGAAGUUAUACUUGGGUCCCAAUGUCAAUCUUCAACAAGGUUAAAGGGGCCGUUUCGUAGGAAAACUCAACCAUCUUAUUGUCACCAUACCUGGCAUCACCUUUAUAGUUAGUGUAUCAUGAUCAUACAAGAGACCCACUUCUAGGUAAUGUGGUCUUAUGGGAGGAAAUUUCGUUUAAUUGAGGAGAAAGAAGCAUAACAUAUUUGUGGUUGAAAAUUGUGCUACGGUAUCGGUUGCAUGCAAGUACGUGGCUAAAUUAGGAGACAUUCAAUAUAUGACAUUUAUAUGUGACAAUCAAGUUAUAUUUCUGAUAGGCAAUACAUCAAAUCCAAUCUUUCUUGAUCGGGCCAAACACAGAUAGAUUGCUACUAAGAAAAAAAUCUGUUUUAAGAGGAAUUUAUAAGUGACUUUGUCAACUCUAAUGACUGGUUGACCUACAUUCUCAGCAAGUUCUUGGAAGCUUUCAUCAUGAUUACAUUUUAGCAAGAUUGUGCUUUAACCUGGAGAGGAGUGUUAUAUUUGAAAUAAUUAUCCCCAUAAAUAAGUGUUGCUGUUACAACAAUUUUAGGAGUUUAAUUAUUCUUUUGUAUUUGUGAUUGAUUUUGUUGUACCCUAAUGUGCUCACAUACAACACAAUAUUCAGAUAUGUUCUUUUUUGUAUGAUAGUUUACAAAUAAAGUACCACAUAAGUGAUUUGGUCGUUA